GUUCAUGUGCGGCGGCGCGUGAAGCCUUUGCUCCCACCGGUGCAAUGUUUCUUGUAGGUGGCGCAUCUGUGCCGAGGGCGACCUCUUGGAUCGCCACACACACUGUGCGUGCGAAAGGGGGGGGAGCACACAGGAUGCGACACCCUGGUUGUGCACUCCUGUACAUGAUGUAAAGUCGCCGUGGGCAGCCGGAGCUUCUCACGCCGCGCAGAUAACGCAUUAAUUGACCGCUUGGAGAGUACUGCCCCCAAGGUUACCACUCAAAUGAAUUGACGGGGGCCCGCACAAGCGGUGGAGCAUGUGGUCUCAUUAGAAGCAACGAGAAGAACCUUACCAGGCCUUGACAUCCAAUGAACUUUCCAGAGAUGGAUUGGUGCCUUCGGGAACAUUGAGACAGGUGCUGCAUGGCUGUGGUCAGCUCGUGUCGUGAGAUGUUGGGUUAAGUCCCGUAACGAGCGCAACCCUUGUCCUUAGUUACCAGCACGUAAUGGUGGGCACUCUAAGGAGACUGCCGGUGACAAACCGGAGGAAGGUGGGGAUGACGUCAAGUCAUCAUGGCCCUUACGGCCUGGGCUACACACGUGCUACAAUGGUCGGUACAGAGGGUUGCCAAGCCGCGAGGUGGAGCUAAUCCCAGAAAACCGAUCGUAGUCCGGAUCGCAGUCUGCAACUCGACUGCGUGAAGUCGGAAUCGCUAGUAAUCGCGAAUCAGAAUGUCGCGGUGAAUACGUUCCCGGGCCUUGUACACACCGCCCGUCACACCAUGGGAGUGGGUUGCACCAGAAGUAGCUAGUCUUAACCUUCGGGAGGACCGGUACCCACCGGUUGAUUCCCGACCUUC
rnacentral:rRNA from 1 species